GAGACAGCAGUAGCCCGGUAAUACGGAGGGUGCAAGCGUUAAUCGGAAUUACUGGGCGUAAAGCGCACGCAGGCGGUCUGUCAAGUCAGAUGUGAAAUCCCCGGGCUUAACCUGGGAACUGCAUUUGAAACUGGCAGGCUAGAGUCUUGUAGAGGGGGGUAGAAUUCCAGGUGUAGCGGUGAAAUGCGUAGAGAUCUGGAGGAAUACCGGUGGCGAAGGCGGCCCCCUGGACAAAGACUGACGCUCAGGUGCGAAAGCGUGGGGAGCAAACAGGAUUAGAUACCCCUGUAGUCCCUGUCUCUUAUACA
rnacentral:rRNA from 1 species